AUUGAACGCUGGCGGCAGGCCUAACACAUGCAAGUCGAGCGAGCGGCGGACGGGUGAGUAAUGUAUGGGGACUGCCCGAUAGCGGGGGAUAACUACUGGCAACGGUGGCUAAUACCGCAUACUAUCGGAUAACCCAUAUGGGAUUAGCUAGUAGGUGGGGUAAAGUCUCACCUAGGCGACGAUCUCUAGCUGGUCUGAGAGGAUGAUCAGCCACACGGGCACUGAAAAACGGCCCAAACUCCUACGGAGGAAGAGGUGGGGAAUAUUGCACAAUGGGCGCAAGCCUGAGGAAGCCAUGCGGCGUGUAUGAAGAAGGCCUUAGGGUUGGAAAGUACUUUCAGCGGGGAGGCGUUACCCGCAGAAGAAGCACCGGCUAACUCCGUGCCAGCCGGCGAGGUAAUAC
rnacentral:rRNA from 1 species